CCUACGGGAGGCAGCAGUGGGGAAUAUUGCACAAUGGGGGAAACCCUGAUGCAGCGACGCCGCGUGAAGGAAGAAGUAUUUCGGUAUGUAAACUUCUAUCAGCAGGGAAGAAAAUGACGGUACCUGACUAAGAAGCCCCGGCUACCUACGUGCCAGCAGCCGCGGUACUACGUAGGGGGCAAGCGUUAUCCGGAUUUACUGGGUGUAAAGGGAGCGUAGGCGGUUUAGCAAGUCAGAAGUGAAAGCCCGGGGCACAACUCCGGGACUGCUUUUGAAACUGUUGAACUAGAUUGCAGGAGAGGUAAGUGGAAUUCCUAGUGUAGCGGGGAAAUGCGUAGAUAUUAGGAGGAACACCAGUGGCGAAGGCGGCUUACUGGACUGUAAAUGACGCUGAGGCUCGAAAGCGUGGGGAGCAAACAGGAUUAGAUACCCUGGUAGUC
rnacentral:rRNA from 1 species